GAUGAACGCUGGCGGCGUGCCUAAUACAUGCAAGUCGAGCGAACGGACGAGAAGCUUGCUUCUCUGAUGUUAGCGGCGGACGGGUGAGUAACACGUGGAUAACCUACCUAUAAGACUGGGAUAACUUCGGGAAACCGGAGCUAAUACCGGAUGAUAUUUUGAACCGCAUGGUUCAAAAGUGAAAGACGGUCUUGCUGUCACUUAUAGAUGGAUCCGCGCUGCAUUAGCUAGUUGGUAAGGUAACGGCUUACCAAGGCAACGAUGCAUAGCCGACCUGAGAGGGUGAUCGGCCACACUGGAACUGAGACACGGUCCAGACUCCUACGGGAGGCAGCAGUAGGGAAUCUUCCGCAAUGGGCGAAAGCCUGACGGAGCAACGCCGCGUGAGUGAUGAAGGUCUUCGGAUCGUAAAACUCUGUUAUUAGGGAAGAACAUAUGUGUAAGUAACUGUGCACAUCUUGACGGUACCUAAUCAGAAAGCCACGGCUAACUACGUGCCAGCAGCCGCGGUAAUACGUAGGUGGCAAGCGUUAUCCGGAAUUAUUGGGCGUAAAGCGCGCGUAGGCGGUUUUUUAAGUCUGAUGUGAAAGCCCACGGCUCAACCGUGGAGGGUCAUUGGAAACUGGAAAACUUGAGUGCAGAAGAGGAAAGUGGAAUUCCAUGUGUAGCGGUGAAAUGCGCAGAGAUAUGGAGGAACACCAGUGGCGAAGGCGACUUUCUGGUCUGUAACUGACGCUGAUGUGCGAAAGCGUGGGGAUCAAACAGGAUUAGAUACCCUGGUAGUCCACGCCGUAAACGAUGAGUGCUAAGUGUUAGGGGGUUUCCGCCCCUUAGUGCUGCAGCUAACGCAUUAAGCACUCCGCCUGGGGAGUACGACCGCAAGGUUGAAACUCAAAGGAAUUGACGGGGACCCGCACAAGCGGUGGAGCAUGUGGUUUAAUUCGAAGCAACGCGAAGAACCUUACCAAAUCUUGACAUCCUUUGACAACUCUAGAGAUAGAGCCUUCCCCUUCGGGGGACAAAGUGACAGGUGGUGCAUGGUUGUCGUCAGCUCGUGUCGUGAGAUGUUGGGUUAAGUCCCGCAACGAGCGCAACCCUUAAGCUUAGUUGCCAUCAUUAAGUUGGGCACUCUAAGUUGACUGCCGGUGACAAACCGGAGGAAGGUGGGGAUGACGUCAAAUCAUCAUGCCCCUUAUGAUUUGGGCCACACACGUGCUACAAUGGACAAUACAAAGGGCAGCGAAACCGCGAGGUCAAGCAAAUCCCAUAAAGUUGUUCUCAGUUCGGAUUGUAGUCUGCAACUCGACUACAUGAAGCUGGAAUCGCUAGUAAUCGUAGAUCAGCAUGCUACGGUGAAUACGUUCCCGGGUCU
rnacentral:rRNA from 1 species